CAAAGACCCACUUUUACAGCUUCCAGCAUGUGUUGUGAAACAUUUCUUCUAAUUUCUAAAAUUGAAACAAUUACUAUGAUCUACAAAAUUUGAAGAACAACUAUGAAUCAAUAAUUUACUGCUAUAAUCAACAAAGGAUAAAUUAACUUCAUCUGACACAUGCUGAAUAAUCUACAUAAAUAUGAUUGCAAGUCAUGGCAAGUAUUCGUAAGUGAUUUGAGAAAGUCCAUGCAUGGGAGCAGGACAAAGAGAAAUAAUCUGAUCAUCCCUAAGAGGUUUCAAGAAUGAGCAAUUGCGUAAAGCUGAGUCCUGGAAGGCUGCCUGUAGGGGGCAGUAUGUGGUCUGGCCUUAAGGACAAACGGAAUUUUCACCGGAGAAGACUGUGGCGGGGGCUUUUCAGGAGGAAUGAAUAGGAAGAGUACAGGAGGCUGUAUAGCAGCAGGUGGCUUUGUUUGGUUGGAAAACACUCCAAGUGAAAAGGCAUUGUGAAGAAUGGAAGAGCUACUGAGAAACCAGCCUAUGGAGUUUGGCUGUCUCUCCUAGUCACAAAUAAGGAGCUGUUACUGGUUUUUGUCAAAAGAACAGGAUGAUCACAUCUGUGCCUUAGGACACUUUAGAUGGGGCAGAACAGGUACAGGGGAUG
rnacentral:lncRNA from 1 species